rnacentral:misc_RNA from 1 species
UCCGAGUUGUCCCCGGCAGUCCUCUUAGAGUCCCCGGCAUUACCCGCUGGCAACUAAGAGCAGGGGUUGCGCUCGUUGCGGCACUUAAGCCAACACCUCACGGCACGAGCUGACGACAGCCAUGCAGCACCUGUGCUAGCCCCUUACGGACACGGGCUUUCACCCGCUUUAACUAGCAUGUCAAACCCAGGUAAGGUGGGGAUGACGUGUCGUUACCUUA